rnacentral:snoRNA from 1 species
ACGACCUUACUUGAACAGGAUCUGUUCUACAGGCUCGUACCGCUGCAUCCUUUACCAAUAAGGAGGCAAGCACUUCAGUCAGUUUUUUUUGUAGCAGCAGAAAGUAAAACAGCAAACUCACUCAACUCUGGUU